rnacentral:misc_RNA from 1 species
UCUCCGUAGGUGAACCUGCGGAGGGAUCAUUACUGAGUGAGGGCUCACGCCCGACCUCCAACCCCAUGUGAACCGAAACCUGUUGCUUCGGGGGCGACCCUGCCGUUCGGCGCGGCGCCCCCGGAGGUCAUCAAAACCCUGCAUCUCUGCGUCGGAGUUAUAAGUUAAUCAAACAAAACUUUCAACAACGGAUCUCUUGGUUCUGGCAUCGAUGAAGAACGCAGC